UUUCCUUUUCUGGUUAAUCUUCAUCUCCCAGUACUGUAGUACAAAGGAUUAAGGCAAUGUUUUCCUGUGUUCUGGAAUCGAGAUUCGGAGGAGACUCCAUAUACUUAUAUGGCUAAUGAUUCCUACAAGAAGAAGACUUUGUUUCUGGGAAAACAGUAAAUGAUUUAUACAAGGCCUGGAAAUCGAAGCACAAGACUAUGUGCUGAGUUUGGAAAUCAUCUCUUCUACCAACUUCAACAUGGUUCCUGAACAGCACUCCCUCAACAGAAGCAGCAGCUCUCUAGCCAUUUCUUUAGCCCUCCUUGUCCCAUCUACGCUCACUUGAAGCAAUCCGGGCAUCACUCCUUCUCUCAGUAUCAUUCCUCUGUUCGUCUCUCUGUCCAAGUUGCACACACCGAGCAAUAUUCCUACGGCGUGCUCUUUACACUGUGCUGACCCUUCUUCAAUGGCUUCCACCAGAACCCCAAUCGCUCCACUGAUGCUGCAAAUCGAUUCUGGUGAUUCAGAGAUUAUGUUCUCCAGCAAAGAUGCCGCCUUUUCAGCCAAUUCAGAGGAUUUAUCGCAAAAGUUCAUGACUUGAAGCAAAGCAUACGGUGCUCCACAAGCUAUGACGAGUGGAACAAUCUGAUGGAGUGUCGAUAGAUUGUGUAGUGUUGCUAUGCCAUCAAGCUUGGCCUGAGUCGUUAGCGUUUCGAGCCCAAUUAGCCCAACUAGAAUCUGAACCAACCUGGUCGACGCUAUCUUGACCUUGUUUUUGUUACAGGAAGAGAGGAUCAGGAGAAACGCCAUGGCCAGUUCAACUAUUACCAUCUUCGUUUCUGACUGGAGUAUCUCUAGCAACAUUGGUACUGCGCCAGAUUUCACAAUUCUUACUUUGUUCCUGUAAGUUCAGAGACGAUUGAUUAUUUUCCUCUGUUACUACCGCUUAAUGUAUUGGUUUAACAUAGAGAUAGAAACACAAACCUUUCACUGCCAAAUGCAAGGCUGAGCAAUGCAGAUAGAGCGACUUCUGUUGUGAUGCAGUCUUGAUAUUGUAACAUUGAGAGUAAAGGAAUGAUGAUUUCUCUUUCUG